rnacentral:rRNA from 1 species
ACGGAGGGUGCAAGCGUUAUUCGGAUUUAUUGGGCGUAAAGGGCGCGUAGGCGGCUUAUUAGGUCUGAUGUGAAAGCCCGGAGCUUAACUUCGGAAGUGCAUUGGAAACUGGCAGGCUUGAGUACGGGAGAGGGAAGCGGAAUUCCCGGUGUAGCAGUGAAAUGCGUAGAUAUCGGGAGGAACGCCGGUGGCGAAGGCGGUUUCCUGGACCGAUAUUGACGCUGAUGCGCGAAAGCGUGGGGAGCAAACAG